GAUGAAGAACGCAGCGAAAUGCGAUACGUAAUGUGAAUUGCAGAUUUCAGUGAAUCAUCGAAUCUUUGAACGCACAUUGCGCCCGCCAGCAUUCUGGCGGGCAUGCCUGUUCGAGCGUCAUUUCAACCCUCGAGCCCCCCCGGGGGCCUCGGUGUUGGGGGACGGCACACCAGCCGCCCCCGAAAUGCAGUGGCGACCCCGCCGCAGCCUCCCCUGCGUAGUAGCACACACCUCGCACCGGAGCGCGGAGGCGGUCACGCCGUAAAACGCCCAACUUUCUUAGAGUUGACCUCGGAUCAGGUAGGAAUACCCGCUGAACUUAAGCAUAUCAAUAAGCGGAGGA
rnacentral:misc_RNA from 1 species